rnacentral:lncRNA from 1 species
AAAGAAACUCUUCAGAAAGACCUAUAUCAGAGGAAAGAAGAAAUUGAGAGACUAAAUAGGCAAAUUAUCUCCUCUGAGCUUAUGAUGAAGGAUUUUCAUAAUGACGCAAAUUCUCUGAAGGAAGCAAAGGAGAAGCUCGAAAAUGAUGUAGGGUUCCAUUUAGAAGAAAAAGAAGCUCUUCAGAAAGACCUUAGUCGGCACAAAGAAGAAAUCGAGAGAUUAAACAAACGUUCUCUCUCCUCUGAGCUUGUGAUAAAGGAUCUUCAUAAUGACAUAAAUUUGUUGUUGGAGGUGAAGGGGAAACUCGAAAAUGAUGUAGGGUUCCAUGUGGAAGAAAAAGAAGCUCUUCAGAAAGACCUUAGUUGGCACAAAGAAGAAACCAACAGAUUAAAUGAACACAAUCUCUCCUACGAGAUUACGAUAAAGGAUCUUCAUAAUGACCUAAACUCGUUGAAGGAGGCAAAGGAGAAGCUUGAAAAUGAUGUAGGGUUCCACGUAGAAGAAAAGGAAGCUCUUCGGAAAGACCUUAGUUGGCACAAAGAAGAAAUCAACAGAUUAAAUGAACACAAUCUCUCCUCCGAGCUUGUGAUAAAGGAUCUUCAUAAUGAUCUAAACUCGUUGAAGGAGGCGAAGGAGAAGCUUGAAAAUGAUGUAGGGUUCCAUGUUGAAGAAAAAGAAACUCUUCACAAUGACCUUAGUCGGCACAAAGAAGAAAUCGACAGAUUAAAUGAACAGAACCUCUCCUCCGAGCUUAUGAUAAAGGGUCUUCAUAAUGACGUAAACUCGUUGAAGGAGGCAAAGGAAAAGCUUGAAAAUGAUGUACGGUUUCAUGUAGAAGAAAAGGAACCUCUUUGGAAAGACCUUAGUUGGCACAAAGAAGAAAUCAACAGAUUAAAUAAACACAAUCUCUCCUCCGAGCUUAUGAUAAAGGAUCUUCAUAAUGACCUAAACUCGUUGAUGGAGGCAAAGGAGAAACUUGAAAAUGAUGUAGGGUUCCAUGUUGAAGAAAAAGAAACUCUUCAGAAAGACCUCAGUCGGCACAAAGAAGAAAUUGACAGAUUAAAUGAACACAACCUCUCCUCUGAGCUUAUGAUAAAGGAUCUUCAUAAUGAUGUAAACUCGUUGAAGGAGGCAAAGGAGAAGUUUGAAAGUGAUUUAAGGUUCCAUGUAGAAGAAAAGGAAGCUCUUCAGAAAGAC